AAACAUUUCUUAAUGUUAUAAUUUUAAGUAAUACCUGCUCCAUGAAUAUUUAAAUAGCCGCAGAAUAUUUACUGUGCUAAGGUAGCAUAAUCAUUAGCCUCUUAAUUAGAGACUCGCAUGAAAGGUAAAACAUUUUAAUUUCUUUCUUUAAUAAAUUUAUCAAAAUUAUAUUAAAUAUAAAAAUAUAUUUAUAAAUAAAUUAGACAACAAGACCCUAUUGAACUUUACUUAAGUUAAGCUGGGGAAGCUUGUUAAUACUCAUUUUAAUAUCUAAUACUAAAAUUAAUAAUCCAAAAAAUUUGAAAAUUGAUUAAGUUACCAUAGGGAUAACAGCGUAAUAUUUUUAUAAAGUUCUUAUUUAAAAAAAAGUUUGCGACCUCGAUGUUGAAUUAGUGUUACUUAUAGAUGCAAAAAUUUAUAAAGUAGGUCUGUUCGACCUUUAAAA
rnacentral:rRNA from 1 species